rnacentral:rRNA from 1 species
CACGUAGGGUGCGAGCGUUGUCCGGAAUUAUUGGGCGUAAAGAGCUCGUAGGCGGUGUGUCGCGUCGGCCGUGAAAACCUGCAGCUUAACUGUGGGCUUGCGUCGAUACGGGCAUCACUGGAGUUCGGCAGGGGAGACUGGAAUUCCUGGUGUAGCGGUGAAAUGCGCAGAUAUCAGGAGGAACACCGGUGGCGAAGGCGGGUCUCUGGGCCGAUACUGACGCUGAGGAGCGAAAGCGUGGGGAGCGAACAGG